CACGUGAGCAAUCUACCCAUCACAUCGGGAUAACUCCGGGAAACCGGAGCUAAUACCGGAUACGACCACCUCAGGCAUCUGAAGUGGUGGAAAGUUCCGGCGGUGAUGGAUGAGCUCGCGGCCUAUCAGCUUGUUGGUGGGGUAACGGCCCACCAAGGCUUCGACGGGUAGCCGGCCUGAGAGGGUGACCGGCCACACUGGGACUGAGACACGGCCCAGACUCCUACGGGAGGCAGCAGUGGGGAAUUUUCCGCAAUGGGCGAAAGCCUGACGGAGCAAUACCGCGUGAGGGAUGACGGC
rnacentral:rRNA from 1 species